ACUAUUAAGGCUCCAGAAACAGCCAGAGACAGGAGGCUACAAAAUACUCAGUUUCUAAGGGCUUUUGACUGAAGUGUGCGAGACAUAACUGCAUGUGGAGAGUCAUCUCUUGCACUUGACCGGCUGCUUGUUGCCUGGCUUAGAAUGCAUUUCGUGGUCAGUGGAAAAAAAUGAGGAAGAGGAGGGUGUGGCUGCAGAGAAUUUGGCUGUGCAGGCAGGGACUGGCUUUGGGGUUGUGAUCCUUCAACCUCGCAGAAGGAAGACUUCUCUUAGUCAUAAAUGGUUCGAUUCAGAGGUGCUGUUCUGAACCGAGGCCUUCCUGCUCCAACUGCCUGUGAACUCCACAGGCAAAACUGCACUGCUGCAGCUGCUGGUGGUGGAGUUUGCUUGGACUUCCCCAGUGCACGUUUCAUAAUGCAGUGCAUUGUCCACAGGGUGUCUUUGAGAGUGGGAUAGAAAUCCAUUCACAUUUUCUAAAAUCCUUGCUGUGCGUUCUGUCAUUUUUGUCAAAUAUGAAAUGUGUGUGUGUGUGUGUAUAAGCAGAAUGCUCAACUGUAUCUGCGUAUGGGAAUAAAAAUUUCUAGACAAAGGAAAUACAGAAUCACAUCUAUGUGUGACAUUUUGUUUACUAAAGCUGAAAAAUAGCAGAAUACUGUUAAAGCCGAAUAUGUAAAUUUAGACAUCCUUUCAAAAUGUAGGAAGCCUGGUAAUGAAUACAAGUGUGGCAAUUUUGGUAAGUAUAACAUGACAUGGGGGAGAAAUGAUUCCCAGGAAGACAGUUCAUGGAAUACAAAUUUUAUAAAGUACUGAAUUAAAUGUGGUGUUAUUUUUUCCUCAACUGUAAUCUAUACUUGCAAUUAAUAUAAAUAAUAUAAAGCCUCUACUAUCUGUACAGAUAAAUACAUUAAUAGAGUUAUUAUACCAUUGAUAUUCUUUUUUCAUGAUAAUAAUUAUGAGUCAAUAUUGUUCGUGCUAAGAGGGUUGUUUUUCUUUUUUAAGAAAUGGGAUUUAAAUGCCAACACACUGUUACACUCUGAGACUUCAGAUAGCCAAUCUAGACAGAUGAAUCUAAGAUGCACAUGAUUCAUUACAUAUUUUAUUUUUAAAAGGUUAAAGAGAAAUAUUUAAUUGAACUGAAAAACUGAAGUUGGCUAUGUACAAUAGAUGGGAUACUAAUGUUCAGCUCAUAAAUGGAUAAAGUACCCAUGAAUUCACUGUGUGCAACCAAUUUGGGUUAAAUAUCUUCAUGUAUACUAAAUAAUUGCAACUCUGCUAUGAAUGUGUCAUCACAAUGGAUAACCCUUUUUAUUUUCUUCCACUGUGUGUGAAUUUGUCACCUUACUAACGUUUCACUGCAGAAAAAACCAACCAACCAAACAAACAAACAAAAAAAAACAGAGCAAUUUCUGUGGCAUGUUCUCCUUUUUGUUCCUACUACAAUUUACUUUGUAGCUCUUCAUUGUAAAACAGAUAAAAAACAGAGCCUCUUAAUACAAAAUUUGGUCACUCGGCAACUCUUGCUUACUUGAAAAGCCUGUGAGUAAUUUGCAAUAUGAAGGUAUUUUAAUGCCCUGUUUUGUGGACCUAAGAAAUUUCAGGUUUUCAUUGCAGAUUUCAGUAUGCCUAUCUGCUUAUUUUUUGCAGCUUAAUAUUCUCUAAAAAUCAACACUUUUAUAAUUUUUUUACAAGGCGAUAUUUACUUUCUUUUUUCUAUAUAUUUGUAUUUUAAUUCUCUCACUCCCCCCCUUUCUCCCCCAGUAGCUGUUUCUUCAGGGCACACAAUUUUGAGCAGACCUGCCCAUUUAAAUAAACAGGGGUGUGUUUUAAAAUCCAAUAGCUUGUCGUAACUCUGCGUUCCCAGUGAAAUCAGAAGAAAAGUAGUGCUGGAGCAGAGCACUUGAACUUUGAGAACUGGAGUUGUCAGUCACUGCUGAAGGUACAGGAACAGCGGAUGCCUCCCAUUGUUGUCGCUGGGAGCUGGCAGCAGCUGUGGCAGGGGGAGCGUGCGGAGGAGCCGCCAGCCGCCCGCUAGAAAGAAGCUCAAGAAAAGAAACCGACAAAGUUGGGCGGUGCAAGUUUUUAUAUCUAUUUAAUAUUUCGACGUGUCCCAGGCGUUAUUAGACAUCGGCGUGCAGAGCAGUCACGAUGCGCCUGGGAGCGAGUCCAUGGGGUUUUGUGCCAUUUGUACGCCUGGGCAACACCAUACCCGUCCUGAACUCAUAUUUUUGAGUGUCUCAGCCUGGAUGUAGCCCAGAUGUGUGAAAUACACAGCAGCAGAAUUUGAGUUUUCAAGUGAAAUAGCUUUUCUUUGUCUGAAUCAUUCUUCAAAAUGCAAGAUCAGAAGUUUCCUACUACGUCAUCUUCAAGACUCACAGAAAAUUCUCCUGCAACUUGUGGCUGCCUGGAAAAAGAUGAUGAUGUAGUCUGGCAAAAUGAACUCAAGAAACAAGAAGAAGACGCUAGAGACUGAUCUGCGAGUUGUUCAGAGUACUCACAGCCAUCUAAGGAGCUGAGGAUAAAGCUGGCUCUUUCCUGACUUCCACUGGAGAAAAGUGAAAAGGCAACAUCUGAAGAAGGCACUGUCAAUUCCCAAUGAUCCCAGGAGAACUGAAUUAGAUCCUGGGAUCUGAGCAAGCCAGAGGUGAGGCUGUCAUGAGGGUGAAACUCAUUUGAGUGCCCAGAGGUUCACUGAUAAGAUGCAAACCAGAAUCUGCCUAUUGGUAGUCUUUCCAGAUAUGAUUCAGAGCUAAUAAGAGAGACUGAGAAGUACCAUGACUCCAAACAGAAUCAUUUUGGCUUUGUCUCCCAUGGAUCCUGGCCUCACCCCAUUUUCCCACUGGGAUCUGCUGAAUGUCAUUUCUGCCCUCAGGAGCUGGGAAGCACGGCUCAGGCUGAGAUCCUGCUGCUGCUGCUCCCACAGAUGUCCCUGUCACGCCUGGCAGCCGGCUUAGGCUGGGCAGAAAGCCCACCAGGGCCAGCACAGCAAAUCAGCUGAUUUGGGGUGCCCCCUGGGGACCAAUCUGAUGGAAUAAUAACAACGGAAAGAGAAAGCUGGUGCUGUGAAUGGGCCUCUGAGAAAAUGUACAGAGAAGCUGCUGUCUGCUUUUUCACUAGCUGUCACUCACCUUAUAAUUGUUUCAGUGUGCACUGAAAUGAAGUUGAAACAUGCGUGUUUUCUCUUUCUGCAUCCCGAUUUUGAUUGUGCUAAGAGCAGUGGAAGAUCCCAUCAGUUGCCCUGAAACAUGACCUACCUACUUUGGGGUGAGAUCUGCUUUGUUGUAAAGGAUGGCUCUAGUUUUUCUGUGUGUAUCAUGUAUCCUUGUCUUUAAUUUGCAAUUAACAAAAAAACGUUUUGCUUGGAGAAGGCUCCAGGAAGUCCUCGUUGUGGCCUUCCAAGACUUGAAGGGAACGUAUAAUCAGGAGGGGGAAUGGCUGUUUACGAGGGUGGACAGUGAUAGAACAAGGGGGAAUGGUUUUAAACUGAGA